rnacentral:rRNA from 1 species
GAUGAACGCUGGCGGCGUGCCUAAUACAUGCAAGUCGAGCGAACAGACGAGGAUCUUGCUCCUCUUACGUUAUCGGCGGACGGGUGAGUAACACGUGGAUAACCUACCUAUAAGACUGGGAUAACUUCGGGAAACCGGAGCUAAUACCGGAUAAUAUAUUGAACCGCAUGGUUCAAUAGUGAAAGACGGUUUUGCUGUCACUUAUAGAUGGAUCCGCGCCGCAUUAGCUAGUUGGUAAGGUAACGGCUUACCAAGGCAACGAUGCGUAGCCGACCUGAGAGGGUGAUCGGCGACACUGGAACUGAGACACGGUCCAGACUCCUACGGGAGGGAGCAGUAGGGAAUCGGCAGAAAUGGGCGAAAGCCUGACGGAGCAACGGCGCGGGAGUGAUGAAGAUCUUCGGAUCGUAAAACUCUGUUAUUAGGGAAGAACAAAUGUGUAAGUAACUAUGCACGUCUUGACGGUACCGAAUCAGAAAGCCACGGCUAACUACGUG